CUCCCUCUCUCCCCUCCAACCCCUCCAAAGAGUUAUGUCAUAACAACCCUGCCCAGCUCUCACCUAGCUGGGCAGAUGCAACACUUCAUUCCUAGAGACACUCCUCUUGGAAUUGUCCCCUGCACAGACUCACAUGGUUUUCUUCCCAGGCAACUUCUUAAGCAGCUACAAAGGCAAAGGCAAAGCAACGCAACUGUGCGACGUCCCCCGUUUCCAAAAGGAGGGGGAAAGAGCUGCAGCCCGGGGGAAAGGCAGCACCGACACCUGGAGGAGCCUCCCAGGGCACAGCCCCGGCUGCGUGUGCUCGGGCACCACACGCUGCCCUGUGCUGGCUGCCAGUGCUCCCGCGGCACAGCCGGCGGGGAGGCAGCCCUGGCAGCCAGGCAGGCACCGGCAUCACCAGCAGGUCUUUCCUGACUGCCCUUGGAGGAGUGAUGUUGCCAGGAUUGGAAGACUGAGCAGGUACCUUAGCUUCAUGCUCCCAGGGGUUUCAAGACCAUUAGAAACAUGACUGCCUUGGUGCUGCUGAUGGCACUUCCAGAGAAGAUCUUCCUGCAGCACCCGGUCCCAUUGAAAUAGUCUCGUGGUGAAACCUCAGCCCUCUUCAGGGACUGGUAGAAGUGAUACAGUGCUCACAGAAGCAGAACUGGGGAAACAUUUCCAACCAAAACAAGUGCCAAUAGUCUAAGAAAUGGAGCAUAUGAUUUCUAGAUAGAUAGCUUUCAAUGUAACUGUUUUGUGCCUAUCACUGCUUUGCAACAAAAAUGUUCCAUUUCAAACAUUAACCACCAGCCUUCAUUCACCUCUUGUCCAGAGCCACCUCUACCUCUGUGCAGCUUUUCUACCUUUCAAACCAAGCUAGGAAAGGUGCUGAUCUGUUUUGGAGCUGUGACUGCAAACCUUGCUUCCUCCCAUGCUCAGAAGAGGCUCGGGAUGCAGGCAGCUCACAUGGCACCUCAGCUCCACACACUAACAAAUGCAGACCAUAAAUCUGGAUGCUAACAGACAAAAGACAUUAAAGUAGCAGUGGGAAUCUAAGAGGAGCAGUAAAAAGCACCUGAACCCCACUGUCUACUAAACAGCAAGGCUUUCUCCAGGCUAAUGUGAGCUGGGACUGUUUUUCAGUUGAUGUGGAGAACUGAAGGUGAAGCAUUAAGUCUGCAAAACUCAGCAAAGUCUUCAACAAGCCAUAAAGCAGCUAAAAAUCCUCUUAGCUAGUAACAAAUGCUGUAAUCCCUAAAAGCCAGGCUCAAAUUUUAAGGAAUCCCAUUGGUCAGAUAAGACAUAAAAAGAAAUGUCACUGUUUUCUAGGAAUGAAUCAAUAUCCUCUCAUUCAGUGGCACCAACAAAGAUGGAUAGAAGAGUCCAGCAGAGAAGUACCACCUGCUGUAAACAAGGAAAGGAAACACGAAAUACAGGGAAUACUUGCAGCACAACUUGGUCCCUUUUGUAGAAAUUGGAUCUGCAGAUGAAAAGAUUUAUGCCCACGCAUACUAACACCUGUCUGGAGGACUCUUGCAAAACAGAGCUGUGUGAAAACAGGAAAAGAUUUUGUGCCACAAUAUUUUGUAAAUAAACACAAAAGCAUAAAUAAUUCCACACAAUUUCAACAUCUUGUGCUUAAAAAUUAUUCUGUACCUCAUGCUGCUGACUAGCUUUUUAACUCUACACAAAUAAUUACAAAUAAGUUUAUAAUACGUACAUAAAUUUACAUUGAAAUUUGAAACUGCUGACAAUUUUGGAAGAUAAAUCAUCUGUCAGAGAUUAAGAAUUGUAUAAUCCCUUCCUCCGCUCUGGGAAAAGGAAAGCAAAAUAGAGACUGUCAGGGAAAGUGCAUUUUUUGGGGGAAAGAGCUGAACUGGAAAUAAAAAUUGAAUUAUUCCUGGAAAUAAAAUUAAAAUAACCUACAAUAAAAUUAGCAUGCUCAGACAUUCACAAGUAGAGCAUCACACUUGGUUGUGCUGGAGGUAACGUCAGUUUGGACUUCUCAGACAUGGCACCAAAUCACAAUUCACAUUAAUGGUGGCAGCUGAAAUAAAGUCUCAGAGGGGAUGGGUCAAAACCUUAAAUGGGGACCAGAGCCUGCUACCCAUGAUUUUCAAGCAGAUAACAGGGCUGUUACAGCUGAUGCUGCAGCCAGCUGCAUGAAAAAGGCAGGGCCACGGGGAGUCCACACAUCGACCAGUGUGGAGCUGCUGGAGCAGCCAUGAACUUUGUUCACAUCAGAGAGAUCAGAUCUAUAAAUAAUACACAUUAUCCAGCCUUAAAUCCAUGCCAAAGUAAACAGGCUAAAGAGUGCCUAUCACAAAAAUACCUUAACCAUAUACUGAAAUGCAUCCUCCUUCUUACCCCAUGCAGGCAGUGGGAAGAGAAUUUAAAGUUAAUAACAAUGUUUGUUUGAGCAGUUGGGCUGGGUUGCAAUUGCUGAACAAAAUGAAGGAAGUUUGCUGGGGAUGCUGUGAGAAAGACAAGUUUAAAAGGGAAGUUUGUGUUUAAUUAUAAACAGCAAGGUUAAUGAUCACUCUUAUUUUAUCUGACAAAGAAUUUCUUAGUAUUGAUCCAGCUCCCUCUAACCAGGAUGGGUUUUUUUUCUUCCUUUGAAGGAAAAAAUGAAUAAAACAAAUAGCAACAAUG